AUACGGAGGGUGCGAGCGUUAAUCGGAAUUACUGGGCGUAAAGGGUGCGUAGGCGGCUUGAUAAGUCGGAUGUGAAAGCCCCGGGCUUAACCUGGGAAUUGCAUUCGAUACUGUCAGGCUAGAGUAUGUCAGAGGUUGGCGGAAUUCCUGGUGUAGCGGUGAAAUGCGUAGAUAUCAGGAGGAACACCAGUGGCGAAGGCGGCUAACUGGGGCAAUACUGACGCUGAGGCACGAAAGCGUGGGGAGCAAACAGGAUUAGAAACCCUAGUAGUCC
rnacentral:rRNA from 1 species